GACCCCGCACAAGCGGCGGAGCAUGCGGCUUAAUUCGAUGCAACGCGAAGAACCUUACCCAGGGUUUGGACAUCCUGCGAAUCUCUUGGAAACAGGAGAGUGCCUUCGGGAACGCAGUGACAGGUGGUGCAUGGCUGUCGUCAGCUCGUGUCGUGAGAUGUUGGGUUAAGUCCCGCAACGAGCGCAACCCACGUCUUUAGUUGCCAGCAUUUAGUUGGGCACUCUAGAGAGACUGCCGGUGAUAAACCGGAGGAAGGUGUGGAUGACGUCAAGUCAUCAUGCCCCUUACAUCCUGGGCUACACACGUACUACAAUGCUACGGACAAAGGGCAGCAAGUUCGCGAGGACAAGCAAAUCCCAUAAAACCGUGGCUCAGUUCAGAUCGUAGGCUGCAACUCGCCUACGUGAAGGCGGAAUCGCUAGUAAUCGCAGGUC
rnacentral:rRNA from 1 species